GGAAGAGCAAAAAUUCAAGAUCCAGUAGAGAAUAUUUUAGAAGCCAUUAGUCAGCCAGAUUAUUUACACUGGCAGGACACAGAAAUUUACAGUCUUUCUGAAGUGAGGAAUUAUCAGCCAUGCCUUACAGAUAGGAAAAUCGCCAUGUAAGGGAGGAGAUGUGCCCAGCAUAUUAAGGCCAGCAUAUUAAGUGUUGAGACUGAACUGUCUGAAAGUGACUGUAUCCCACAACCCAGACAACCAGUUGCACCUCCCUAAGGCAGAGUUUUACUUUCAUCACUAUUUUGAGUUGGUUGGUUCUACUUUCUCAUCCAAUUACAAUUUUUAACUGAUCAUCUUUCUAGACAAAAAUCAUAUGUUGAAAUCAUGUGAUUUCAGUACAGUUUAUGGAAUGGUUGUUGAUGCUAUACAGUGCUAUAUUCUUAAAACUACUAAGCUUCUCAAAGACAGGUUCUCCUAAACGUCUCAUGAACAAAUUGGA
rnacentral:lncRNA from 1 species